rnacentral:rRNA from 1 species
UAGGGAAUCUUCGGCAAUGGGGGCAACCCUGACCGAGCAACGCCGCGUGAGUGAAGAAGGUUUUCGGAUCGUAAAGCUCUGUUGUAAGAGAAGAACGUGUGUGAGAGUGGAAAGUUCACACAGUGACGGUAACUUACCAGAAAGGGACGGCUAACUACGUGCCAGCAGCCGCGGUAAUACGUAGGUCCCGAGCGUUGUCCGGAUUUAUUGGGCGUAAAGCGAGCGCAGGCGGUUUAAUAAGUCUGAAGUUAAAGGCAGUGGCUUAACCAUUGUUCGCUUUGGAAACUGUUAUACUUGAGUGCAGAAGGGGAGAGUGGAAUUCCAUGUGUAGCGGUGAAAUGCGUAGAUAUAUGGAGGAACACCGGUGGCGAAAGCGGCUCUCUGGUCUGUAACUGACGCUGAGGCUCGAAAGCGUGGGGAGCAAACAGG